GGGUCAAUGAUGAGGACUUUAUAUUGCCUUGAGGAGCGGUGAUGACUUAAAUAUCACGUACAAUGGUAUGACACUGAGGCCC
ensembl:snoRNA SNORD115 Small nucleolar RNA SNORD115